CCUGCAUCCUCAUGGACACUAGCCAGGUUCGUUUCUGCUGAGCCAUGGCAGGAACUCCCAUAGGGUGCAUUUUUAGAGAAAUUCAUGUGCACACAUGUGCAAGUCAUGUCCUUCACCCUGCCUCUGCAUCCCCCCUGCUCCCCCUCAGCCAGCAUCAUGAUGUCAAGCUCUGGCUAGGAGGGCAGUUUUCCCGUCGGCAGAGAUGGUUGUGAGCCUCCCUCUGCAGAUAAGCUGGGGCAGGGGGGAGCUGGUAGGAAAAGCACUGGGUGAGAGGCAGGCCCCGUUAGCUAGCUCAGCAGGCUUGUCACAGCUGAGGAGGGUGUGGAUCUGUUCUUGGUAACAGCAGCGGGGACCAGCCUCUUGCUAGUCCAUGGUCUCUGCAGCUGUAUGAACCCCUACUUUCCAUCCUCACUAGAUUCGAAAGUCCACAGGAAUUGCCCAGGAGAGGGCUCCUUGGGCUCUAAGUAUCUGCAGAGGAUUCCGAUUAACUGAUCUCACCGAGCCCUGCCGUCUCCCAGGUGACAGGAUGGAGCACCUGACUGCUUGGCUAAGCGAUCCAGGGACAUGAUGCAAGGAUUUGGCACAAACAUCCCCACAUGAGAAAGAGCGAACACAGGUCACUGAAACAAAGGAAAAGGUGGAGGGGUGCGCACACAUCCAUCUGAGAGACGGAGAAGCGAAAUGUCAGCAGGGGGUAAACCACAACCCGGUUCCCAAAGACUGAAAGCUGACCUGGUAUGUAAUACAUAGUUCUUAUCAGGACAAAGAAAAACUAAAACAACUGGAAAAAAGAUGAGAAAGUAACUGUAGAAAGGGGUUGGGGGAAACUGUUUUCUAUAGGGCUCUAUUUAUAUAUAUGUUCUGUAUUCUUUUGGGGGCAGCUACUGGCCAGUGAGAGCUGUGCUUUUUCUAUACAAACCUGGAGCGAGCGUGUGGUUGGAGGGUCUCAGGGCUGUGGGUCUGGGUUGGGGGAGGGCUGUGGGCGGUGAGGCCGCGUCUGGAAAGUGGGGCCUGGGCCUCUGUGGGGACCAGCGCCCCCGUGCAGACAGGCGGCACCUCUGCAGGUGGGAUGGGGAGGGCGCGGAUGCAUGAGUGUACGUACGUUUCUUCAAAAAAGAAAAGAAAGAUGGAUGAGAUGGUGAGUUUUCCUUUUUCCUUUUGUUUUUUGUUUUUUUUUUUUAAGCUACAAAGCACAUGAGAAAUGUUCUUCUUUUCCUUUCAAAUUCUAAAUGUAAAGACUCAACUAAAACCGGAUUCUACAGCAUUCUACAGAAAUACACAGCCGUCAGUCACUCUGGGUCGUAGGUUAGACAGGGGCUUGAUACAGAAAGGCUGUGUGUCUUACAAAGGCCAAAAGGUCAUGCUACCAGGAGAUCAACGUCAACAGCAGAGAGUCCGUGAAGCAGUCUGUAGAGAGAGAGAUAAGGGGUCCGGUCUGACCAUUUUCCUUGAUUUAAACCACAAACCAACCAACCUGAAUCCCUCCAACGUGUUGAGUAAUGUUGGGUGGGGCAAGAUGGGGGCAGCAUCACAGUGGGAGUCGGGAACCCAGGGAGCCUAGUCCUGGCCCCGUGGGAGGCCUCACCCUCUAGGGCCCUGACCCAGCCAGGUCUGAAGAUGAGCCCUCCCCUUGGCCACAUGCCUCUUCUUUCUCCUGCCCUUAGGGAGCUGGUGGCAACUCUGCAGGUGACCUUGAGCCAUGGUUUGCACGGCCCCUUCCCUCAGCUGCUCAUAGAAAGCAGACCUAGUCUCCCUUUUCUGAUUCUUGCCUUGUAGACAUGAAAAAAGAAAACUCAGGAGACAGUGGAUGGGUCAGAACAAUGAUUCUUCUAAAUACUUGAAAUUAACCACCACCACCAUCUGAGAAAGAUGUGUCCUUAAUUUUUCUGUUAUUGGGAGUAUAGGGCAGGGUGAUGCUUGAGGGUGUUGGCCAUUUUCUACAGGGUUUUGGAAUUUGCACAAGCGUAGGACACACCUGAGUGCGCAGGCGGAGGCAGAGGAGUGGGCUGGACUGGGGCCAGGCCUUUCCUUGCCCCCCCCCCCCCCCCGCCCCCAGCUCACAGAAAUGGUCUCAGAGAGUGAAACCACGUGGCUGUUCUUAAAACAAGAGACUCCCAAAGGGGAUGUUGUAUGAGUAUGUGUGUGAAAGUGUGCAAGCACACAAGUGGAUGCUCUCGUACUGUCCCGGGAAAACCUUGAUGAUGAAUGGAAUGGUAGUCAGUUCUGUCUGAAGCUCCUUCUAGUACAAACUAAAAAUGUAAUAUAUAUUUGCCUAUAAUAUAAGGUUCGUUAUGCCUUUUUAAAGUUUAUUUGCCAACUUGCAUUUGUUAGUAGGGUGUGUGUGUGUGUGUGUGUUUACGCAAGCUUUUCUGUGAGUGCUGGAAUCAUUACCAAAUAGGUUGCUAUACAGGACAAGAGGUCAGUACAAGCCGCAGCCCCGGAGGUUGUUGGCAAUGAUGAUGUCGGUGACGGCGUCGAACACCACCUGGAUGUUAUUCGUGUCUGUGGCACAAGUCAUGUGACAAUAAAUUUCUUUGUUGGGCGAGCGGUUUUUGCUUUCAAA